rnacentral:misc_RNA from 1 species
AACUUCCACCUGGCAUACCUCUUCAGUCUUGUGUCAAUGCUUGUAUUGCAUUGAAUGCACAGCGGGUUUCUUGUGUUGCAUGCCUAAUUAAUGGUAUUUCUUGAUGAAUUGGUAUUCCUUUUGUCUUGUGUCGCCUAUGCGAUGUGAGAUGAAUCUUGAAGCAGCCUUUGUGAUCCACUCUUUUGAUGCAAACGCAUUGAUUUUUGUGGCCCAUUGAGUGUUGCUCGGUAACAUGGAUAUGGAACCUGGAGUGGGCAUGGAAUCUUAAUGGUUCCUUGUUUGCCCAAGUUUAGCUUUUCUAAAACGAAUGUCCAUCAUGUGUUAACUAACGUGGUAGACUGCUUCGAAUAUGAAUGCUACCUGGUUGAUCCUGCCAGUAGUCAUAUGCUUGUCUCAAAGAUUAAGCCAU